CCCUUAGAUGUUCUGGGCCGCACGCGUGCUACACUGAGUAAAUCAAUGGGUAAGGGAACACGAAAGUGCAACCUAAUCUUGAAAUUUGCUCGUGAUGGGGAUCGACGGUUGCAAUUUUCCGUCGUGAACGAGGAAUACCUUGUAGGCGCGUGUCAUCAUCACGCGCCGAAUACGUCCCUGCCCUUUGUACACACCGCCCGUCGUUUCUUCCGACUGAUACUCAUUGUGAGUUGCAAGGAUUCUUAAAUGGAGAAUUGCGACAAAUACUUUGUAUUGGAGGAAGAAAAAGUCGUAACA
rnacentral:rRNA from 1 species